rnacentral:rRNA from 1 species
UGGCUGAAUCCAUAGGCCAGCGGAGGCGAACCCGGCGAACUGAAACAUCUAAGUAGCCGGAGGAAAAGAAAUCAACCGAGAUUCCGCAAGUAGUGGCGAGCGAACGCGGAAGAGCCUGUACGUGAUAGCAGUCGUGUUAGAAGAACGGUCUGGAAAGGCCGGCCAUAGUGGGUGAUAGCCCCGUAUUCGAAAACACAAUUGUGGUACUGAGCGUACGAGAAGUAGGGCGGGACACGUGAAAUCCUGUCUGAAGAUGGGGGGACCAUCCUCCAAGGCUAAAUACUCAUGAUCGACCGAUAGUGAACCAGUACCGUGAGGGAAAGGCGAAAAGAACCCCGGGAGGGGAGUGAAACAGAACCUGAAACCGGAUGCAUACAAACAGUGGGAGCCUGGAAACGGGUGACUGCGUACCUUUUGUAUAAUGGGUCAGCGACUUACAUUCAGUAGCGAGCUUAACCAGAUAGGGGAGGCGUAGCGAAAGCGAGUCCGAACAGGGCGUUGAGUUGCUGGGUGUAGACCCGAAACCGGAUGAUCUAUCCAUGGCCAGGAUGAAGGUGCGGUAACACGCACUGGAGGUCCGAACCCACGUCUGUUGCAAAAGACGGGGAUGAGCUGUGGAUAGGGGUGAAAGGCUAAACAAAUCCGGAAAUAGCUGGUUCUCUCCGAAAACUAUUUAGGUAGUGCCUCGAGAUUACACUGACGGGGGUAGAGCACUGUUAUGGCUAGGGGGUCAUUGCGAUUUACCAACCCAUGGCAAACUCCGAAUACCGUCAAGUGCGUCCUCGGGAGACAGACAGCGGGUGCUAACGUCCGUUGUCAAGAGGGAAACAACCCAGACCGCCAGCUAAGGUCCCAAAUGACAUGCUAAGUGGUAAACGAAGUGGGAAGGCCAAGACAGCCAGGAUGUUGGCUUAGAAGCAGCCAUCAUUCAAAGAAAGCGUAAUAGCUCACUGGUCGAGUCGUCCUGCGCGGAAGAUGUAACGGGGCUCAAGCAUGUAACCGAAGCUGCGGAUGCGUACUUGUACGCAUGGUAGGAGAGCGUUCUGUAGGCCUGCGAAGGUGGUGGUGUAAACCCUGCUGGAGGUAUCAGAAGUGCGAAUGCUGACAUGAGUAGCGAUAAAGCGGGUGAAAGUCCCGCUCGCCGAAAACCCAAGGUUUCCUACGCAACGUUCAUCGGCGUAGGGUGAGUCGGCCCCUAAGGCGAGGCAGAAAUGCGUAGUCGAUGGGAAACGGGUCAAGAUUCCCGUACCGGUUGUGAAUGCGAUGGGGGGACGGAGAAGGGUAGCUCAGCGGCCUGUUGGAAUAGGUCGUUUAAGCGUGUAGGAGUGGUCUCCUGGCAAAUCCGGAGAUCUUAUCUGAGGCGUGAUGACGAGGGUCUACGGACCUGAAGUGAGUAAUCCCAAGCUUCCAGGAAAAGCCUCUAAGCUUCAGUUCACAACUGACCGUACCGCAAACCGACACAGGUGGGUAGGUAGAGAAUACCAAGGCGCUUGAGAGAACUCGGGUUAAGGAACUCGGCAAAUUGACACCGUAACUUCGGGAGAAGGUGUGCCCCGGUAGCGUGUAGGACUUCGCGUCCGAAGCGUGAUGGGGUCGCAGAGAAUAGGUGGCUGCGACUGUUUAAUAAAAACACAGCUCUGUGCCAACACGAAAGUGGACGUAUACGGAGUGACGCCUGCCCGGUGCCGGAAGGUUAAGUGAUGGGGUGCAAGCUCUUGAUCGAAGCCCCGGUAAACGGCGGCCGUAACUAUAACGGUCCUAAGGUAGCGAAAUUCCUUGUCGGGUAAGUUCCGACCCGCACGAAUGGCGUAACGAUGGCCACACUGUCUCAACCCGAGACUCAGCGAAGUUGAAAUGUUUGUGAAGAUGCAAUCUCCCCGCUGCUAGACGGAAAGACCCCGUGAACCUUUACUGUAGCUUUGCAUUGGACUUUGAACAGGCUUGUGUAGGAUAGGUGGGAGGCUUUGAAGCUGAGACGC